rnacentral:snRNA from 1 species
GGACUCUUCGGAGCAUCCAUUAAACUUGGAACGAUACAGAGAAGAUUAGCAUGGUGAAGCUCGCUCGAUACUCGAAUCUGCUGAUUUCAAAUGCUUGUAUUCAUGCUCACCAAGACGCGGUCGAUUUCACGGUCACAGGCCCCUGCGCAAGGAUGACACGCAUAAUUCGAGAAGAAACGAUUUUUUUC